GCACGGAGUUAGCCGGAGCUUAUUCUCCCGGUACGGUCAUUAUCAUCCCGGGUAAAAGAGCUUUACAACCCUAAGGCCUUCAUCACUCACGCGGCAUUGCUGGAUCAGGCUUUCGCCCAUUGUCCAAUAUUCCCCACUGCUGCCUCCCGUAGGAGUCUGGGCCGUGUCUCAGUCCCAGUGUGGCUGAUCAUCCUCUCAGACCAGCUAAGGAUCGUCGCCUUGGUGAGCCUUUACCUCACCAACAAGCUAAUCCUACGCGGGCUCAUCCUCAGGCGAUAAAUCUUUGGACCGAAGUCAUCAUCCGGUAUUAGCAGUCAUUUCUAACUGUUAUUCCGAACCUAAGGGCAGAUUCCCACGCGUUACGCACCCGUGCGCCACUAGACCCGAAGGUCUCGUUCGACUUGCAUGUGUUAGGCAUGCCGCCGGCGUUCGUU
rnacentral:rRNA from 1 species